rnacentral:rRNA from 1 species
UACGUAGGUGGCAAGCGUUGUCCGGAAUUAUUGGGCGUAAAGCGCGCGCAGGCGGUCCUUUUAAGUCUGAUGUGAAAGCCCACGGCUCAACCGUGGAGGGCCAUUGGAAACUGGGGGGACUUGAGUGCAGGAGAGAAGAGUGGAAUUCCACGUGUAGCGGUGAAAUGCGUAGAGAUGUGGAGGAACACCAGUGGCGAAGGCGACUUUCUGGUCUGUAACUGACACUGAGGCGCGAAAGCGUGGGGGAGCGAACAGG